CACCAUGAAAUUGUGAUUUAGAGGACGCGAUUUGAACACGGAAAAACAUUCCCUUCCUUGAUUAGAUGGAUAAGAAAUGUUUCAACCGUGUGACAAGUGUUUGUCAAUUUAUUAAUCAUGCCAAGGGAUAGUGUUUUCUUUUGGCUGCCAUGCUUGCUUCUUGUGAAUUUCUUUAAUAUAAUGAGUGGUGAAAUUUGAAACACAAAUAUAGCUUGCUGAAUCGGUG
rnacentral:lncRNA from 1 species